rnacentral:rRNA from 1 species
AAACUUUCAACAACGGAUCUCUUGGCUCUGGCAUCGAUGA